rnacentral:lncRNA from 1 species
AUUAUAUGCGAAGGGUCUGAUUGGUACCGUCGUAGCAUGGAUACAUGAAACUCAUUAUGAAUCUUUUCUAAUUCUGACGGUAAAGCUAGCCGAUAUGCCACUAGCCCUAUUCUUUCGAUAAUCUCAUAUGGCCCGAUAAUCAAGGACUAAGCCUCCCUUUUUGACCGAAAUGAAGAAUCCUCUUCUAGGGCGAUACUUUCAAAAAGAC